AAAUUGAAGAGUUUGAUCAUGGCUCAGAUUGAACGCUGGCGGCAGGCCUAACACAUGCAAGUCGAACGGUAACAGGAAGCAGCUUGCUGCUUUGCUGACGAGUGGCGGACGGGUGAGUAAUGUCUGGGAAACUGCCUGAUGGAGGGGGAUAACUACUGGAAACGGUGGCUAAUACCGCAUAACGUCGCAAGACCAAAGAGGGGGACCUUCGGGCCUCUUGCCAUCAGAUGUGCCCAGAUGGGAUUAGCUUGUUGGUGAGGUAACGGCUCACCAAGGCGACGAUCCCUAGCUGGUCUGAGAGGAUGACCAGCCACACUGGAACUGAGACACGGUCCAGACUCCUACGGGAGGCAGCAGUGGGGAAUAUUGCACAAUGGGCGCAAGCCUGAUGCAGCCAUGCCGCGUGUAUGAAGAAGGCCUUCGGGUUGUAAAGUACUUUCAGCGGGGAGGAAGGUGUUGCGGUUAAUAACCGCAGCAAUUGACGUUACCCGCAGAAGAAGCACCGGCUAACUCCGUGCCAGCAGCCGCGGUAAUACGGAGGGUGCAAGCGUUAAUCGGAAUUACUGGGCGUAAAGCGCACGCAGGCGGUCUGUCAAGUCGGAUGUGAAAUCCCCGGGCUCAACCUGGGAACUGCAUUCGAAACUGGCAGGCUUGAGUCUUGUAGAGGGGGGUAGAAUUCCAGGUGUAGCGGUGAAAUGCGUAGAGAUCUGGAGGAAUACCGGUGGCGAAGGCGGCCCCCUGGACAAAGACUGACGCUCAGGUGCGAAAGCGUGGGGAGCAAACAGGAUUAGAUACCCUGGUAGUCCACGCCGUAAACGAUGUCUACUUGGAGGUUGUGCCCUUGAGGCGUGGCUUCCGGAGCUAACGCGUUAAGUAGACCGCCCUGGGAGUACGGCCGCAAGGUUAAAACUCAAAUGAAUUGACGGGGGCCCGCACAAGCGGUGGAGCAUGUGGUUUAAUUCGAUGCAACGCGAAGAACCUUACCUGGUCUUGACAUCCACAGAAGAAUCCAGAGAUGGAUUUGUGCCUUCGGGAACUGUGAGACAGGUGCUGCAUGGCUGUCGUCAGCUCGUGUUGUGAAAUGUUGGGUUAAGUCCCGCAACGAGCGCAACCCUUAUCCUUUGUUGCCAGCGAUUAGGUCGGGAACUCAAAGGAGACUGCCAGUGAUAAACUGGAGGAAGGUGGGGAUGACGUCAAGUCAUCAUGGCCCUUACGACCAGGGCUACACACGUGCUACAAUGGCGCAUACAAAGAGAAGCGACCUCGCGAGAGCAAGCGGACCUCAUAAAGUGCGUCGUAGUCCGGAUUGGAGUCUGCAACUCGACUCCAUGAAGUCGGAAUCGCUAGUAAUCGUGGAUCAGAAUGCCACGGUGAAUACGUUCCCGGGCCUUGUACACACCGCCCGUCACACCAUGGGAGUGGGUUGCAAAAGAAGUAGGUAGCUUAACCUUCGGGAGGGCGCUUACCACUUUGUGAUUCAUGACUGGGGUGAAGUCGUAACAAGGUAACCGUAGGGGAACCUGCGGUUGGAUCACCUCCUUACCUUAAAGAAGC
rnacentral:rRNA from 1 species